rnacentral:rRNA from 1 species
UACGUAGGGUGCGAGCGUUGUCCGGAAUUAUUGGGCGUAAAGAGCUCGUAGGCGGCCUGUUGCGUCGGUUGUGAAAGCCCGGGGCUUAACCCCGGGUCUGCAGUCGAUACGGGCAGGCUAGAGUUCGGUAGGGGAGAUCGGAAUUCCUGGUGUAGCGGUGAAAUGCGCAGAUAUCAGGAGGAACAGCGGUGGCGAAGGCGGAUCUCUGGGCCGAUACUGACGCUGAGGAGCGAAAGCGUGGGGAGCGAACAGG